rnacentral:tRNA from 1 species
CGGGGCGUAGCUCAGCCUGGUAGAGCACUGCGUUUGGGACGCAGUGGCCGGCCGUUCGAAUCGGCCCGCCCCGA